AGCGAACGCUGGCGGCAGGCUUAACACAUGCAAGUCGAGCGGGCAUAGCAAUACGUCAGCGGCAGACGGGUGAGUAACGCGUGGGAACGUACCUUUUGGUUCGGAACAACACAGGGAAACUUGUGCUAAUACCGGAUAAGCCCUUACGGGGAAAGAUUUAUCGCCGAAAGAUCGGCCCGCGUCUGAGUAGCUAGUUGGUGAGGUAACGGCUCACCAAGGCGACGAUCAGUAGCUGGUCUGAGAGGAUGAUCAGCCACAUUGGGACUGAGACACGGCCCAAACUCCUACGGGAGGCAGCAGUGGGGAAUAUUGGACAAUGGGGGCAACCCUGAUCCAGCCAUGCCGCGUGAGUGAUGAAGGCCCUAGGGUUGUAAAGCUCUUUUGUGCGGGAAGAUAAUGACGGUACCGCAAGAAUAAGCCCCGGCUAACUUCGUGCCAGCAGCCGCCGUAA
rnacentral:rRNA from 1 species